AAAAUUUUAAUAGAAAUGGUCUCCUAGGAGUAGAGAAUUCCCUUUAGAUUUGGCUGAUAGAACACCAUAGACUACGUGGUUUAAACAACAGAAAUGUAUUUCUCACAGUUCCGAAGCUGGAAGUCCCAAGAUCCGGGAGCCAGCACAGUCAAGUUCUUCCAGGCUGCAGACAGUCAACUUCUCAGUGUAUCUUCACAUGGCAGAGAGCAGAGAGAGGAAGCAGGCUCGAGUGACUCUUAUAAAGACAUGAGUCCUAUUCAUGAGGACUCCACCCUCAUGACCUCAUCUCAUCCUGAUUACCUCCCAGGGGCCCUAUUUCCUAAUACCAUCAUAUGGGGACAGGGUUCAACAUAUGCAGUGCUGGAGAGACACGAACAUUCAGUCCAUAAAUGAACAAAUACAGUUAAAUAUGGAAGGGAUUUAAUUACUAUGUCAUAAAAGCGAACAACAACAAAAGAAUACUACAUGUACUAUGUAUUUUAUUAGUUAUGUAUCCAUACAGGAAUGUGUGUGUUUGUAUGUGUUGUGGAAAAUCUGUGGUCCUUUUUUCCUCUCAGGUGCGUUCUCUUUUUUAAACAAUACAAAUUGAAAAGCCUAAAUUUUUCUUCAGAAAACAAUUGUUUCAGAACAAGGAGGGUUACAUUCAAAAUAUUUCAUGAUACAUUAUAAAAUAUAAAAACAAAACUAAAACUUUCAUUAAGAGCAUCAGAAUGUUCAAAGCAUUUCAUCUCAUCAAAAUAAUUACACCUAUUAGUCUGAGCUAGAUAUUGAAAAGCAUAAGCUCACUUAUUUUUGUAAGUUAACCUCAUUCAGUUUCUUAGAAAUUUACUUUGGUCUCACGAGUUAGAAUUAAGUCAUAGAUUGCUAUACUGUAUUCAUUUGGAUGCAUCAGAAUAAAAAUGACAUGUAGAUACAUUUGAUCUCCCUUUAAUCAAUCAAAACCACAUAUGUGAGGUUUUUAUUACACCACAUCAGAUAUCAUGGGCCCUGUAACUUUUCUUCAGGUCCAUAUCACCCACAAGUAAUUUUCCUGACCAUGAAAACUUGGCAAAACUACAAUCGAGACAACAUUAUCGGUCACGCAGGGAAUUAGAGGUGGUGAGUGAAAAGAGGAGGAAGGAGAGGUGAGAGAGAGAGGAAGAAGACCAGCUCACAGCAGUCAAAAGGACUUUCUUCCGCGUUGAAAUUGGAUGCAGGAAAUAGGGCAGUGAAGGCACUAGACUUGGGAUACUAGAAGGCAACAAAUGCCAAAGAAGACAUCUGCUUGUUUAAAAAUAUGACUGAACGAUUACUAUUGAAUAGAAGAGCAUCACCUCCUAGAUCAACAUCUACCUUCCUCUUGCCCUCUGCUGCUACACAGGAAAAGCGUGAGGCUGGAAACAGUGACUUCCAGGCAUCUGAGAUGACACAACAUAGAUUGCCAAAUUGCAUGCCACCCUGCAGUUGCCAAGGAGAUAAUAAAUCUAUGAAACUAUUAUCAUAAAUAAAGAGAACCUCAGCCAGAAAAUAAGAUAUUAAUGACAUGAAGAAAGAACACCAUGGAGUGAGCACAAUAAUCGGAUUGUGGAGAGCUUUCCAACUGAGGAAGAACAUUAUGUGAAUGAUGCCACCACCUUCUCAUCCUCCAUUUCUGUCACUCAACAUUUCUAAUCCAUCGUUAAAGCUUUAGGCUUAAAAGUAUGGGUUUUGUUGGCCCAGCCCUGCAACCUACCAGAUAAAUGAUUUGGGGAAGAUCACUUGAUCUCUAUCAAUUUCCUUAUUGGUAAAACAUGGAUUCCAACAGGACACAUCUUUUAUUCUCUAAACCAUCCUAUUAAUCCAAAUCACCUGCAUCAGUAAGAGAGUAGAUACUCUAAGAAGUAGUGAGGAUAUGAAAGGGUACAACCACAACAGUGAAGAUCAACUCAAAUACUGGAAGGACAGAAUCAAAGGCAGAAUUAAGGUUGUGGCCCAGCCUGCCAAGAGGAGUUACUGAAUCAGAGUGGACUUAGCCAAUUGCAUGUGCUCAACCAAGCAUUUACUGACAAUGGCAACUACUCCAACCAAGUGAUAUAUUUAAGGGAACAAAUAGAAGAUUAUUGGUUCUCUUCCCACCUUUGGAAAUUCUGCAAAAUUACUUAAGUGUUGAUAACAUUCCAUUAUAGCACUAGGGCAAGUUCACUUUGCAAAAAUGAAAAGAACUAUGCCAACUCAUCACAAAUAGAAAAAAUAUGUAUAUAAAAUAUGUCUCCAAAUCCAGAAUCUCUGGACUUGAGCAUCCUGGGGUUGGGGGAAGUUAGCAGCUA